AAUCAACGCUGGCGGCGUGCCUCAGACAUGCAAGUCGAACGAGAACCUCCCUUCGGGGAGGGGACAGUGGCGCACGGGUGAGUAACACGUGGGUAAUUUACCUUUGGGUGGGGAACAACAGCCGGAAACGGCUGCUAAUACCGCAUAAUGCAGCGGCUCGACAUCGAGACAGUUGUUAAAGCGGGGGAUCGCAAGACCUCGCGCCUGAAGAGAAGCCUGCGGCGGAUUAGCAGUUGGUAGGGUAAUGGCCUACCAAGGCGACGAUCUGUAACCGGCCUGAGAGGGCGGUCGGUCACACUGACACUGACAUACGGGUCAGACUCC
rnacentral:rRNA from 1 species